rnacentral:rRNA from 1 species
AGAGUUUGAUCAUGGCUCAGAGUGAACGCUGGCGGCGUGGAUUAGGCAUGCAAGUCGAACGAUCUAGCAAUAGAUAGUGGCGGAAGGGUGAGUAACGCGUGAGUAAUCUACCUUCAAGUGGGGAAUAACCUUGGGAAACCGAGGCUAAAACCGCAUGAGACCACGGUCUGGCAUCAGACUGUGAUCAAAAGUGGGGACCGCAAGGCCUACUGCUUGGAGAUGAGCUCGCGUCCUAUCAGCUUGUUGGCGGGGUAACGGCCCACCAAGGCUUUUGACGGGUAGCUGGUCUGAGAGGAUGGUCAGCCACAUUGGGACUGAGACACUGCCCAGACUCCUACGGGAGGCUGCAGUCGAGGAUCUUUUGCAAUGCCCGAAAGGGUGACAAUGCGACGCCGCGUGUGUGAUGAAGGUCUUCGGAUCGUAAAACACUGUCGGCCGGGAGGAAUCUCUGGAGGUUGAAUAGGCCUGCAGGGUGACAGUACCGGCAAAGGAAGCCACGGCUAACUCCGUGCCAGCAGCCGCGGUAAUACGGAGGUGGCAGGCGUUACUCGGAUUGAUUGGGUGUAAAGGGCAUGUA